AGUGAACGCUGGCGGUAGGCCUAACACAUGCAAGUCGAACGGCAGCACAGUAAGAGCUUGCUCUUACGGGUGGCGAGUGGCGGACGGGUGAGGCAUACAUCGGAAUCUACUUUUUCGUGGGGGAUAACGUAGGGAAACUUACGCUAAUACCGCAUACGACCUACGGGUGAAAGCAGGGGAUCUUCGGACCUUGCGCGUUUGUAUGAGCCGAUGUCGGAUUAGCUAGUUGGCGGGGUAAAGGCCCACCAAGGCGACGAUCCGUAGCUGGUCUGAGAGGAUGAUCAGCCACACUGGAACUGAGACACGGUCCAGACUCCUACGGGAGGCAGCAGUGGGGAAUAUUGGGCAAUGGGCGCAAGCCUGAUCCAGCCAUACCGCGUGGGUGAAGAAGGCCUUCGGGUUGUAAAGCCCUUUUGUUGGGAAAGAAAAGCAGCAGGUUAAUACCCCGCUGUUCUGACGGUACCCAAAGAAUAAGCACCGGCUAACUUCGUG
rnacentral:rRNA from 1 species